UUGGCGGGUCUCUUCCGCCUCCCUGGCUUUUCCUUGCCUCUGGAAAGUCAGGGAAAACACCUGUACGCCUACAUCUGCAAGUCCGCUGCGGGUCGGGCCGGCACCGGAGCUGCACCCUUCGGCGACUGACUGCUGGGUUCUGGUUACAGCGCGUUUAAAUCUCCCGCCGUUGCUCUGGCAAAUUUUUGUGUCCCUUUAUGUUCUUGUUUAUGGUUUCUUCUUCUUAUUAUCCCUUUUUUGCAUUGAAAAGGUCCUUGACCAGAUGCCCUUAAUGGAGUAGACACUCUUGUUCCACAUAUGUUUGCAGUUUUCUAUCCUUUCAUCCUUUUCAUUCUGAAGACUAGCAAAUUAUUUUAUCAAAACAGAAUUUGGUGAUGGUUUAUCAUACAAUAUAUACUUAAAUUAUUCUCAUUUUUAAUUGUGGUAUUCUGAAAGUGGAUAAUAAUGCUUGCAAGUGACUACAGAAUUGCUUUCUUGUAGCUGUCUUUGAAACUCCCUGUGAAGGUUUGUUGAGGCUGCAGGUAAGUAGGAGCAGCGGGCUAGUUGUGGCUCUUCAAUGAGCUUUCUGGUGCCAACUCUGUUCUGUUGUCUCAUUAUGUUUACUCCUGCUGUAUGCACACAGGAUAUAUACAUGCUCUUCAACAGAGGUAUAUACAUGCUCUUCAACAAAUUUAUUUCACACCAACAGUAGAUAAUUUGUGCUUAAUUAUCAUCUGCUGUCUACAGAGUACACUGGAUGAAGGAUUUAUUUGCUUAAACAAGGGGAUAAGACCAAAUUUGGUAAUGCAUUUGGCCUAAUUCUGCUUAAAAUUUUGUCCAGAGCAACCAACUUCUUCCUUGAUGAGUCAAUGGGAUACCAGCUCCCAAAACUGUGUAGGCACAGAUCUACAUUUUAGCAUAUUUUCAGGAAGCAAGAUGGGCUGGACCUCCAGCUGUUGCAAGGUGGCACAGUCCCUCAGACAUGAGUAGGAUGGCAUUGAUUUACAUCCAUCGAGGAUCCGAUCCUCUGAGGGAGGAUGGGAGAAAGUACAGCUGUCGUGGCUGGGAGUGCUAAAUCCAUGCCAAUGAGGUGAAGGGGACUGAGCUGCAUGGACUUACAGACCUCAGAGAGAGAAGGUAAUUGAAAAACCUGUUGUGUUUUGCUAGUCUCUGGAUGGAAGGAAUGGUCUGAUCCCUUGAAGAGAUUUAGAUUUUUGAGUUUCUCAGGUUUGUACCUGAUUAGUUCUGCUUUUAGAAACAUUUCAGCAGCUGCAGAUGAACAAAAUGCAAUAACCCUCUGACCAUGUCUCCUCUUUCCCAGGUAUGCCCUUUCAGUCUAGAGCUGGAAAAAGAACAGUAUCACAGUUACUACCUUGAAAGCAUGCUCCAUCAUGUGGUCUGCUCUCUUUGCUGAGAAUGAUCUGCAGGAACGGAUUAAAGUCAUACUUCUGCUUCCCGUCUUGGAGAAGGUUAAGUGUGAGAUGCGGCGACUGAUAAUCUCUAACAUGAAGUCACAUAACAGGCAUCUUUAGCAACAUCCCACUGACUUUAGAGUUCUAUUUUUGUGUUAUAUACUCAUUAAAAAAAAAAAGAGACUGCUUAAGUUGCUGGUUUAAACACUUGUUUU